UACGUAGGGCGCAAGCGUUAUCCGGAAUUAUUGGGCGUAAAGAGCUCGUAGGCGGUUUGUCGCGUCUGCCGUGAAAGUCCGGGGCUCAACUCCGGAUCUGCGGUGGGUACGGGCAGACUAGAGUGAUGUAGGGGAGACUGGAAUUCCUGGUGUAGCGGUGAAAUGCGUAGAUAUCUGGAGGAACACCGGUGGCGAAGGCGGCAUCCUGGACCAAUAUUGACGCUGAGGAGCGAAAGCCAGGGGAGCAAAGCGGG
rnacentral:rRNA from 1 species